UAUGGCGCUUUACUAAACUACGCAUGCGCUUAUAAAAAGGCUCGGCGCCAUUUUAUAGCUGUUAUUUCCCAUUUUAUGCUUGGAGAGGCAGCAGGCAAGUGGGGCUGCAGAGACGGCAGACUAGGGAGUAGAAUGUUGUUUGUAUGGGUGGAUAGCUGUGGUUUUAUCCGCUGAAGGACACCAUGCUGUGUCUUUUGGAGGGAUUGGCGCGGUGGAAUGUGACGGGUUUAAGCCGUGCGGAUUCCGAUGCUACGACGAAAGGUCAUAUGAAGGCUGUGACGUCGUUUGCCAGCGGAGGCCAUUUGCUUAGAUGACGCCGUCUUCUCUGCAGCGUCACAGGAAGUGAUGGUAGCGACGAACUCUGUUUACUUGACUGUAAGGAUGGAUCCGGUGCGCUCCCUCUCCCUCUAAAUGGGCACUUCCCAGGUUUAUGUGUAGCGCGGAGAUGGCAGAGCUGGGCCGUUACAUUAAGCACCUCUGAAGGGGGACUGAUUUAAAGCAGAUACUGUAGGCCGCAAGUGGUAUAUUAUUAACUCGUUGUUUGCUAGUAUAGUUUUACUCUCCUCUUGUGGAGCAAUACUGUGCAAUAAUGCGGUAGAGUAUAUUGUGUAAAUGGGCAUUGCACUUCCGGAGUUGUGUGUAUGUAAUAUUUAGCAGCAUGUGCAUCUGGUUUAUAAGGAGUCUAAACCUAAAUAGGGAAUUUAAACUUACUCUGUGCUCCUCUAACGUUAAACACACGUUCAUUUUCUAUUUGUAAUACUUUCUUGUUUGAUAAGAAUAUAAAGUGUAAUUAACAGGAGAGCACAGUAAGUUACAUCUGUUUAAGUUUAGAAUCUCCUUUAAGGAGAGUCAGGUUGUACUGACAUUCAUAUGUUCAGAAAGUGGGGUUUGGGAGAUUGAAGGCCUUUGUACUGGAAUGAAAAUAUAUCAAUAUAUGGCACUCGGCUUGAUAAAGGUGGACAUUUUUAUUUACCUAUCCCAAUAUUUCUGUGACAGCCAAUGACUUUAAAGGAAACUGAUGGUUUCCCAGGUUUUGCUUGAGGUCACUAACUGACUGAAAGUUGACCUGGUGAGUGAUUUACUUUACUUGUCUCAGUCACUCAUAACUUUUUUUUUUUUUGCAAAAAAAAAGUGACUUGGUAAUUGUUCACAGGGUGUUAGUGAUCAAAAGACCCCCCAUUGCCUGUCACUGGUCCUGUUAUAAUUUAACCAAUAUAAAAAACAGGCUGGCACUGGUCUGGACCACAAUCGGUAGAAGACUGGAAUCCGUUACUGCCUCUAGUCAAUAACUGCUUCCAGUCUUCUGAUUACAGCCUAGACCUGUGCUAGCCUGUUUUUUAUAUUGGUUGUAUAUUACUCCCCUUUCUGAAGGUCUGUGGUAUGUGCACCCAGACCUACCUUUAACGGUGUUAUGCUUAUACCCACUCUCUACCAUGCUGGAAUUGUUAGGAGAAACUUAAUGUUAUGAUAAGUACCCUGGUGUAUACUCGGUGAGAGGUGACCUGUCCCCAUCUUUGCAAAUAUAAGCUUGCUACAGCUUUCCUCAGAAGGGCAGAAGUGGACAGAAUUACUUAGCCCUGCAAGCAGGUCUGUGCGUGUGGGGUAGAGAUACAGUUAUAGCCAGUUAAGUUAUUGCUGAAGAGCACAACUUUGUAUGUGUUUGGUUAAGGGUUAGGUAACCAUAAUACAACCAUAAGCAGCCAGGUUCUAAUCAUGAAUACACUUCCUGUGUGGUGUGGGAGAUAGCCCAGUGCUGUUAGGCAAAUAAAACUGUGCCCAAACUGGGUUCUAACUGGCAUUGCAGUAUCAAAUGCUUUAGAACUGUCAACCAAUCCUAGUGAAUGCUAUACCAUUUACACUUGAAAUUUCUCAUGUUCAUGUCGAUAAUGAAAUUAAAAUCUUUUGUUUAUCACUUAUUUCUGUGUACAGCUUUCAUCACUUGUUAUGCCAACAGAGACCGCCUAAAUGAACAACAUCCAUUGGCAAUUAUGAACGGUCACUGAAUUAUUUGUUUCCAGGCCUUAGAAAUGGAGCGGGGGGGUGGUCCUAGUGACAUCCAUCUGCUUGAAAAAUUAUAUCCUUACCAUGCCGACAUGACGAUCUACGUUAAAGAUGCGCUUGUUAGAGCCUUCUUCAUAAAGUUUGGACAACACAAG